UACAGAGGGGGGCAAGCGUUGUCCGGAAUUACUGGGCGUACAGCGCGCGCAGGCGGUCGCUGACGUGCCGUGUGACAAACGGGGGCUCAACCCCCGAGGGCCACGGUAAACGGGGUGACUGGAGGUAGGGAGAGGGAUGUGGAAUGCCCGGUGGAGCGGUGAAAUGCGUAGAGAUCGGGCGGAACACCAGCGGCGAAGGCGGCAUCCUGGCCCUUACCUGACGCUGAGGCGCGAGAGCGUGGGGAGCAAACCGG
rnacentral:rRNA from 1 species